CACACUCAACCACGCCGUUGCUCCUGCCUCCAGCAGGCUGAACCAACGCUCCACUUCUUUGGCACGUUCGUAUCCAACGCCAUUUAUUUUGCCUUCACAUCUUUAAGCCAGGCACAAAGUGGAUUGUGCUGAAAUGCCUUCCUAGAAUUUGAGUUGCCGCGUCCAAAGAACAAAAGGUCCACAGUCAACACAGGCAUCAGUAAAUGAGCAAGCUGCAGAGGAGAAGUCCAGCCUCUGGGGAGAACUUGAAGGAACUCGAGGCUUGUACAAAAGAUCUGCAACAGUGCACGACGGCCAGCACAAGAGCCUUCCUUCCCCAGACAGACAAGGAGCCCCUGGGUGAGAGUGAGCAAGAGGGAAUCCAGGAGAGCAGGAAGAUGGUGAGACCGAGAGAAAAUGGGGGCCUAAGGCUUGUCCCUCCUGGAAGGAGGUGGAACCCUCAGAUGAUUGGGGGGAUCUGAGUGCAGAAGUGAGCUGUACCCACCUUUCCAGGUCUCUGCCUCCAGUUAGUAUGGAUCACUAAAAUUGUUUCACCACAAAUUAGGCUUUGGAUAAGUGUGUGUAGUCACUGAAACGAUUUGUUCUGCUACCUGAAUGUCACGUUAGGAAACACCCUGAUAAAGGAAACAGAUUAUAUAAUACCUCUUCAAAGCCUCUGUCCUAGCAAUGUUUUGGCUUUUUAAGAAUAAAUUAUGAGAGAGGGUUUCUGAUUGAGGUGAUGGGGAAGUGUGGUCAUGGAUGGUGAGGGCAGUGAUGAAUCCCUCAUGCUCGGGAGUGGCUGAGAUGGGAGAGUUUAUGUUGUGUAUGUUUCCACAAUUAACAAAAAGAGGAACUGAGGAGACAAUAACAAUUAAAUGCAAUACAUAUUCCUAGACGGGAUCUAAUA